GUUAAACGGCCGCGGUAUCCCUGACCGUGCGAAGGUAGCAUAAUCAUUUGCCUCUUAAUUGGUGGCUAGUAUGAAAGGGUAAACAGCAAUUAUAACUUUCCUCACCUGCUAAUAAAAUUAGAAUUUCAGUGAAAAUACUGAAAAAACCAGAAAGACAAAAAGACCCUAUCGAGCUAUAUUUUUCAAAGCAUAUAAUUUGUUGGGGCAACAAAGGGUUACCCAAAACACCCUUCUAAAAUAACCAUAUAGACGACAGACAAAAAAUAAAACAAGCUACCGUAGGGAUAACAGACUUAUUUUUUCUGAGAGCUCAAAUUGACGAAAAAGAUUAGCACCUCGAUGUUGGCUCAGGAUUACUCAUACGUGCAGCCGCGUAUAGAGUAGGUUCGUUCACCCUUUAAAAUCCUACGUGAUCUGA
rnacentral:rRNA from 1 species